GAGGAAAGAGGGAGGCGUGCUUAACACAUGCAAGUCGAACGAUGAAGCUCAGCUUGCUGGGUGGAUUAGUGGCGAACGGGUGAGUAACACGUGAGUAACCUGCCCUUAACUCUGGGAUAAGCCUGGGAAACUAGGUCUAAUACCGGAUAGGAGCGCCUACCGCAUGGUGGGUGUUGGAAAGAUUUAUCGGUUUUGGAUGGACUCGCGGCCUAUCAGCUUGUUGGUGAGGUAAUGGCUCACCAAGGCGACGACGGGUAGCCGGCCUGAGAGGGUGACCGGCCACACUGGGACUGAGACACGGCCCAGGCUCCUACGGGAGGCAGCAGUGGGGAAUAUUGCACAAUGGGCGAAAGCCUGAUGCAGCGACGCCGCGUGAGGGAUGACGGCCUUCGGGUUGUAAACCUCUUUCAGUAGGGAAGAAGCGAAAGUGACGGUACCUGCAGAAGAAGCACCGGCUAACUACGUG
rnacentral:rRNA from 1 species